rnacentral:rRNA from 1 species
GACGGGGGGUCCUAGCGUUGUUCGGAAUCAUUGGGCGUAAAGCGUGUGCAGGUGGUUUUGUAAGUUAGAUGUGAAAGCCUUGGGCUUAACCCAAGAAGUGCAUUUAAAACUACAAAACUUGAGUAUGGAAGAGGGUCGUGGAAUUCCAGGUGUAGUGGUGAAAUACGUAGAUAAUCUGGAGGAACACCGGUGGCGAAGGCGGCGACCUGGUCCUAUACUGACACUCAUACACGAAAGCGUGGGGAUCAAACAGGG